CGCUAGGGUAACCCACAGGGGUGGCCCUGGGGACUGAACCCAGGCCUUUGCGCUGAGUUACAUGCCCAGCCCUUUACUAUUAUUAUAAUUUCUUUUCUUUUUAACUUUGAGAUAGGGUCUUACUAAAGUUUCCAGCCGUGUGAUCCUCCUCUCUCCGCCUCCCAGAGUGCUGGGAUUCUAGAUGUGUCCAGCCACAUGCCGCUCAGGUGGGAAUCUGCUUAUCUGAAAUGCCUGAGAAGUGUUUUGGAUUGUAGAUUUUUCCAGAUAUUGAGAGAGAGAGAGACAGAAACUGCAACAGAGACUGAGACAGAGACAGAGAGAGACAGAGAGAGAGAAAGAUUUCUGAGGCAGGAGCCAAGCGGGCAGCGUUCCCAGAGCACAGCUCCAAGUGUGUAGAGGCCUCAAGUGCGUCGCAGCCUUCCACUAGCACGCCAGCUUUCGGAGGCCUGUUCUGAGCAGCCUUCCGGGCUUCCUUCUGGUCUCCCUUCCUGGGAGCAAGGAGAAAGGAAAACAAUCUUAAGCUAUGGUGUUGCAACUUUCCAUCCAAUCCCGCAGGACAGCCAGAAACCCAGUCACAGUUUUAGGGCUGCAUUCUGGGAGGAAACUGGGGUGAGAGACAUGGGAGAAGGUCACGAAGGAACACAGGGCUCUGUUUUUGGGAACUGAAAGAGUUGGAUUUGUUUAUUCGACCAAGAGGAAGUAAGCAUGGGAAAGAUGAGCCAGAGAUUUGCUGAGGCGGAAAGGACAACCCAGAAACCGGAAAUGGCCUUGUCUGUGUUGUCGCAGUGACGACACCCCUGCAUCUGCCCUCCCCUGUCCCCAGGCCAGCCUGGUCCUCAGUGCGAGAUGGGCAGAGCAAGGCUGUGUCACCGGGGAGCCGGGGCUGGACGCCCGCUCUGUCACCAGCAGUGAGCCAAGGAAUCUCACGUUUAGGAUUUUCAGAGACAGGGUCUCGCUGCGUAGCCCAGGCUGGCCUCGAACUUGUGUCGAUCCUCCUGCCAUCCUCCCAAGCUUGUAUGAACUAAUGAGCUGGCAGAAGUUAUUUCUUAAAGGGAUUUUCUCGUCUUUGUCAAUAUAUUUUCUCACAUCUAUAUUUUAAAGUAAUGCACAGAGCUGGGCAUGGUGGCACACACCUGUCAUCCCAGCACUGGGG